rnacentral:rRNA from 1 species
AUUUAACGCUGGCGGCAGGCCUAACACAUGCAAGUCGAACGAGUGGCGGACGGGUGAGUAAUGUCUGGGAAACUGCCUGAUGGAGGGGGAUAACUACUGGAAACGGUAGCUAAUACCGCAUACCAUCAGAUGUGCCCAGAUGGGAUUAGCUAGUUGGUGGGGUAACGGCUCACCAAGGCGACGAUCCGUAGCUGGUCUGCGAGGAUGACCGGCCAAACUGGAACUGAGACACGGCCCAGACUCCGAUGGGAGGCAGCAGUGGGGAAUAUUGGACAAUGGGCGCAAGCCUGAUGCAGCCAUGCCGCGUGUAUGAAGAAGGCCGUCGGGUUGUAAAGGACUUUCAGCGGGGAGGCGUUACCCGCAGAAGAAGCACCGGCUAACUCCGUGCCAGCAGCCGCGGUAAUUC